rnacentral:rRNA from 1 species
AACGAACGCUGGCGGCAUGCCUAACACAUGCAAGUCGAACGAGACCUUCGGGUCUAGUGGCGCACGGUUUCGUAACGCGUGGGAACCUGCCCUUAGGUUCGGAAUAACUCCCCGACAGGGGUGCUAAUACCGGAUAAUAUCUUCGGCCCAAAGAUUUAUCGCCUUUGGAUGGUCCCGCGUUGGAUUCGCUGGUUGGUAGGGUAAAAGCCUACCAAGGCGACGAUCAAUAGCUGGUCUGAGAGGAUGAUCAGCGACACUGGGACGGAGACACGGCCCAGACUCCUACGGGAGGCAGCAGUGGGUAAUGUUGGACAAUGGGCGAAAGGCUGAUCCAGCAAGGCCGGGUGAGUGAUGAAGGCAUUAGGGUUGUAAAGCUCUUUUAACCGGGAUGAUAAUGACAGUACCGGGAGAAUAAGCGACGGCUAACUCCGUG